UGAGAAUCUUACAUACUGACAGUAAACGUCAAAUUUUGAGUGUUUAUUUUCGUGUGUUACAUUAAAAUUCUCUUUAAGCAAUACGUAUCGAUGCAUCGACAGGCAAGUUUCCUACAGCUAUUUCUGAACGUCCCCUUCAACAGGAACUUGCUCAAGAAAAGGCAAUACUUAAUACAAUUGAUGCUCAACCUUCUACUAGUGUGUGAAUCGAAUUCACAUUGUUGGGCACUUGAAAAUCCACAACAAACUUGGAAAUCCCAUUUCAAGAUAGAUUUUCGGUGAAUAUUUGGUGUAGCAUUAUUGAUGACCGCAUCAUUGGUUCGUUUAUAAUUGAGGAAUGUCUUACGGACAUUCGUUAUUUACCUUUCAUUGAAAAUGAUCGUCCAAUAUUGCUGGAUGAUAUUCCUUUUAAUGUAAGACAACGAAUGUCGAUUCAGCACAAUGGCGCACCUCCUCACUUUGGUCGCUAAGUAACAGAAUUUCUUAAUCAAAAUUAUACAAACCGCUAAAUUCAGCAAUUCCUUGGCCGGCAAGGUCGCCUGACCUUAAUCCCUCAGAUUACUUUUUAUGGCAGAAACUAUUCUUGCUGAU